CUACUAUACACUUGGAAGUAAAAAGGCGAAAAACACGUGUACAUGCUCCAUUCCAGUAUAGACAAGUAUGGAUAACAUGGUUGUAUAAAGAAAAGGCUCUAUAUGUGUAUUGGCUCAAAGUGGUUACUAGGGGGAUGUAAUUAUGAAAGAAAAUUGGCUUGAAAGAUUAAAAUUCAAUCAUAUUUUGACUGUUAUCAUUUCCUAAGUAAUCAACUAUCAUACCACAAAUCAUGUAACGUUAUUCUCAAAAGAGUUUCCAAUCACAAGACCAAUGAACGCCCAUUAUAUUUUUAGUAUAUUAUGACUCUCAAUCCUCACCAAUUCUCUCACAAGAAAAUUUUAGCAAGAGACUCCUCGAACUACAUGUGUUAAACCACUUUCUUACCAUAAGGCUUGUGCGCACAAAAGGAUUCAGCAAAUGUCUCAACAUCUAGACUUACAUGAACAAUAUCAACUCCUGGUGGCAUAUAUUGUCACUCACGAACAUGAACAUGUAGCAAAAAAAUUUUUUAG
rnacentral:lncRNA from 1 species